UGGGGAAUAUUGGACAAUGGGCGAAAGCCUGAUCCAGCCAUGCCGCGUGUGUGAAGAAGGUCUUCGGAUUGUAAAGCACUUUAAGUUGGGAGGAAGGGCAGUUACCUAAUACGUGAUUGUUUUGACGUUACCGACAGAGUAAGCACCGGCUAACUCUGUGCCAGCAGCCGCGGUAAUACAGAGGGUGCAAGCGUUAAUCGGAAUUACUGGGCGUAAAGCGCGCGUAGGUGGUUAGUUAAGUUGGAUGUGAAAUCCCCGGGCUCAACCUGGGAACUGCAUUCAAAACUGACUGACUAGAGUAUGGUAGAGGGUGGUGGAAUUUCCUGUGUAGCGGUGAAAUGCGUAGAUAUAGGAAGGAACACCAGUGGCGAAGGCGACCACCUGGACUGAUACUGACACUGAGGUGCGAAAAGCG
rnacentral:rRNA from 1 species